rnacentral:rRNA from 1 species
CCUACGGGCGGCAGCAGUGGGGAAUAUUGGACAAUGGGGGCAACCCUGAUCCAGCCAUGCCGCGUGUGUGAAGAAGGCCCUCGGGUUGUAAAGCACUUUCAGUGAGGAAGAACGCCUGGUGGUUAAUACCCAUCAGGAAAGACAUCACUCACAGAAGAAGCACCGGCUAACACCGUGCCAGCAGCCGCGGUAAUACGGAGGGUGCGAGCGUUAAUCGGAAUUACUGGGCGUAAAGCGCGCGUAGGUGGCUUGAUAAGCCGGUUGUGAAAGCCCCGGGCUCAACCUGGGAACGGCAUCCGGAACUGUCAAGCUAGAGUGCAGGAGAGGAAGGUAGAAUUCCCGGUGUAGCGGUGAAAUGCGUAGAGAUCGGGAGGAAUACCAGUGGCGAAGGCGGCCUUCUGGACUGACACUGACACUGAGGUGCGAAAGCGUGGGUAGCAAACAGGAUUAGAUACCCUUGUAGUC